AACGUAGGUUCCGAGCGUUAUCCGGAUUUACUGGGCGUAAAGCGCGUUCAGGCGGUUUGGCAAGUCGGGCAUGAAAUCUCUCGGCUCAACCGGGAGAGGUUGUCCGAUACUUCCAGACUUGAGGGCAGUAGAGGGUGGUGGAAUUCCUGGUGUAGCGGUGAAAUGCGCAGAUAUCAGGAGGAACACCAAUGGCGAAGGCAGCACUCUGGGACGUGACUGACGCUGAGACGCGAAAGCGUGGGGAGCAAACAGG
rnacentral:rRNA from 1 species